GAUGAACGCUAGCGGCAGGCCUAAUACAUGCAAGUCGAACGGUGUCUUCGGACAUAGUGGCGCACGGGUGCGUAACACGUAUGCAACCUACCUUACAUUGGGGGAUAGCCUUUCGAAAGGGAGAUUAAUACCGCAUAAGACAGUAGCUGGGCAUCCAGCAGCUGUUAAAGAUUUAUCGAUGUAAGCUGGGCAUGCGUCCAAUUAGCUAGUUGGUGAGGUAACGGCUCACCAAGGCAAUGAUUGGUAGGGGAACUGAGAGGUCAAUCCCCCACACUGGCACUGAGAGACGGGCCAGACUACAACGGGAGGCAGCAGUAGGGAAUAUUGGGCAAUGGACGCAAGUCUGACCCAGCCAUGCCGCGUGCAGGAUGAAGGCGUUAUGCGUUGUAAACUGCUUUUAUACAGGAAGAAACGACUCUUGCGAGAGGCAUUGACGGUACUGUAUGAAUAAGCACCGGCUAACUCCGUGCCAGCCGCCGCUGUAAAAC
rnacentral:rRNA from 1 species